rnacentral:tRNA from 1 species
AAAGAAUUAGUUUAAAAAAAACAUUAAUUUGUCAAAUUAAAUAUAUAUAUAUAUAUAUAUUCUUUU